GGCAGGGAGGCAGGUAGAGUGAGCAGGCGCAGAUCAUCGGGUGCAACCGGCAUUCAUGGAAGAGGGAGCAUGUUGCGUGUGCAGGUUGGAUGCAUCUUUGUCAUCAGUUAUCCAGGAGAAGGACAGUGCUCCAUUCGGCACCCUAGGAACAAACAGGCUUGGAGGAAAGCAGACCUCAGAAGCCUGGAGGAAAGAGAGAAGCUGCCUAAACCUUGGCCAAGCCAAAGCAGACGGCCUCACAAGAUCAAGAUCCUCUCUUGCUUCUCUAGAGAAUGUGCUCCAUCAAAAAGAGAGAAUAAACCAAGAAGAGGAAGACAGAGGAUCCGGAAACAGGGAUGAUGGUGCACGGAAGUCCCAGGAUGACAGCUGUGCAUCAGGCCUUCAGCAGCCAGGAUGGGAGCAGAAGGAUGGGGAGCUCUGGGAGUGUCUCCAAGAAAGAAAAAGAAACUGAUCAAAUAUCUAAUUUUUAAAACAUAUUGAGGGGAAAUUUAUACUUCUGCAAUAAAUUUUAGGAUAUCGUAAUAGAAACUAAGAAAAUAACAAAUAAAAAAACAAAAAAACAAAAAACAAGGUAAUUAUCAACCGCGGGAGAAGAAAGGUUGUAUGAGAAAAGAAAUAAAAACAGAAUUCAGUACAUGG
rnacentral:lncRNA from 1 species